UCUGGAAUUAAACCAGAAAAUAAGAGAAAAUCUCUUAAGAUUGAUUGAUAACAAUAUGAUUGAUGAAUUUAAUUUAAUACAACAUAAAGGGUGUCUUUAUAUAGGCCCUAACUCCUGACUAAAUCCUAUUUAUAAUAGAACCAAGAAAUAAUAAAACCUAUUAGAACAAGAAAUCUUAUAAUAAUACUAAAUGUCGAAUCGGAAUAUCAAACCGACAUCUUUUAGCCUAAAUAUGACGGGGCUCACUAAAGUGAGUCUUGUAGAUCUCGUCGUUUCCAUUCCGGAAAUGCAUCAUGUGUUCCAAACAGACGUUCUGGCUAAAAUCUGUUCCAAUCCGAUACAAAAUACAGAAUCUGUCUUUUUGCUCAAGAAUCCUGAUAUAUCUAAAAGAGUAAUUUACGGUUAAUUCUAUCAUUAAGAUUCUUUGUGACGACAUUUUUUCGUUUCGAGAUUCUUUGUUGAAUUUGGCUAAAAUCUUGUCCUACAUCAUUGGAUGAAACAAUGUGAUCAUUAAGAUCUGGACACAUUCAAUUGGUGGGUUGACAGAGAAUGGCUUCAAACUUGCUGCUAAAAUCAAUUCAAGUCAUAUGAGGCGGAAAGUAAUGAUUGAGCGGUCGAGAAAGAAUACUAUGGAUUGGAAUUGUCCUUUGCCAAAAAUUACGGCCUAUCCGGCUAUCUAAAACAUUCUAUUUGAGAUCCGAUCGGGAUGCAGUGGUUCAAUCUCAAAAGCGGCUUGACCUCGACCGCCCCCCCCCCCCCCCCCGCCGCCCCCCUCCCCCCUCCUCGCCAUCUGAGAGAAACAUCACCACGCCCCGACGAAGGUGGAGAAGAUGAGGUGGUCGCGACCGUGGAGGAGAGAGAGGGUUGGGAAUGCGUAGAGGGUCAGACAGAGUAAGAUAUAAAUGAAACUAAAAGUAUUAUAUUACCCUCCAACAAACGAAUGAUAACAUAUGAGUUAAUGAUGUUACUAACGGCGUGUAUACAAAUUAAGAUGGUCAUGUGAUCAUUUCGUGUACUAAAGUUUAUGUUUUGUAACUUCGUGUAUAAAAGUUUAGAGUGCUCCUAAUUUAAGGUAUUGUUCUCAAAAUUUUCUCAAUCUACAAACGCAAAGGAACACAUGCAGGCCAUUACUUUAUAACUUUUAGCAUUUUUAUUUCGUGCUUCUAAUAAGAUUAGAAAAUGUCUAUGAUUUUUUUUUCUUUUCACUCAACUUGUUAUAAAAUUAUCUGAAAUGAUUAAUUAUUCAUAUAUGUCUAAUGAAUACUAUAUCAUCAGUUAAGUCACGAUUUAUUUGUAUCCCUCAUAAUUAAGGUCACUUGCAUAAAAUUAAAAUAAGGGAAAAAGACUAUUUGCACAAAAUAAAAAAAGUCAAACCCCAUUGCAAUGAUAAUCUUUUUUGUUAACCCAUUUAAAUACAAGGUAUUUCUUUUGUGCCUAAAUACACAAGUUUUUAAUAAAAUCAAAAUAAAAUGAUAUUUUAAAAGACUUUUUUACCCUUAACCUUUAUUUAAAGAGAAAAAAUGAAAAAAAAGAAGGGAAGACUUUCCCGGAAGCACACCGGACACCGGCGCCGGUCGCCGGUCACCGGAUUCCAGUAGCCGAACACCGGUUGCCAGAUUCCGGUCACCGGACACUGGCCGCCGGAUUCCGGUCACCUGUCGCCGGAAAAUUGAUAGUGAUCGGAAAAUCGCCGGAGACGCCAGAGUCUCACUGGAUUUUUUUGAAAAAAAUGUCACCGGAACCCACCGGAUCUUGCCGAAAGCAUACCGGCAAAAAAAUAAAGUUUACUACCCCUAGUAAACUUUUACUGGGAGUAGUAAACUUGCGAAACAAUAGCCCCAAUGCCAUAAUUCACAUUCAAACGGAGAAAAAUCAACUUACAGAUGUGUAGUAAACUUUUACUGGGGGUAGUAACCUUGCAAAACAGUAGCUCCAAUGCCAUUAUACACAUUAAAACAAUGAAAAAUCAACUUAGAUGUGAAAAAAUAAAGUUACUGUGGGUAGUAAACUUGCAAUACAAUAUUUUCCUAGUCAGUAUAUACAUUAAAACACCAAAAAAAAUCAACUUAGAUGCGGACAAAUAAAGUUUACUACCCCUAGUAAACUUCUACUCAGGGUAGUAAACUUGCAAUACAAUAUUUCCCAGAUCAAUAUACACUUUAAAACCACAAAAACCCAACUUAUAUGCGAAAAAUUAAAGUUUACUACCCCUAGUAAACUUCUACUGGGGGUAGUAAACUUGCAAAACAGUAGCUCCAAUGCCAUAAUUCACGUUUGAAAGGAGAAAAAUCAACUUAGAUGCGAAAAACUGAAGUUUACUACCCCUAGUAAACUUUUACUAGGGGUAGUAAACUUGCAAAACAGUAUCCCCAAUGUCAUAAUUCAUAUUCAAACGGAGAAAAAUCAGCUUAGAUGUGUAGUAAACUUUUACUGGGGGUAGUAACCUUGCAAAACAGUAGCUCUAAUGCCAUUAUACACAUUAAAACAAUGAAAAAUCAACUUAAAUGUGAAAAAAUAAAGUUUACUAGCCCUAGUAAACCGGUCGCCGGAAAAUUGACCGAGAUCGGCGAGCUCGGUUCGCAUCGCCUAGAGGUGGCUUGGAGAUCAGAGCUCAGAUUUCGGCUCGCAUCGGAAACUGCUGCUACCUUCUCACAGAUCUGGUUACUUCAAGGUCGAGGUAGAGGAAGCCAACUGGUGAAAUAGACCGGGUUGAUGGCGGCGGUGAGGAUAGAUGAGAGCAUAGGGAAGCGUCAAUCUGGAAGAGGAGGAGCCGAGACCUUUGGUCGGUGAUGGACGUCAUCUGUGACGUUGCUGACGAGAUCGAGAGAAGAGAGAGACCGAUGAGAGAUGAGAAUGAGAGGUGGGAGAAGCAAAAGAUAGUGUAGGCACUACUAGGACAAGCACUUUAUUCAACGAAAAAUUUUCGUCGGCCUAUCAGCUUAAUUCGUCGGCUAAGAUCUUAGCCGACGACCUUUCGUCGGCUAAGAUUUCGUCGGGAAAAGGUCGUCUGUGGUGACUUUAGCUGACAAAAAAAAUGUCGUCGGUUAUCUUCCUAGACUUUAACCGACGAAACAUUUAAGGUAUUCGUCGGCUAUAGUCCUAGAGUUUACCCAACGAAAAACAUGUCGUCGGUUGUUUCUCCGACUUUAGCCGACGAACAAUUUAAAAUAUUUGUCGGCUAAAGUUUGUAAUAAAAAUAAAAAUAACUAAAGCCGACGAA
rnacentral:lncRNA from 1 species